CCUGUGCCCGUGUGCUGUAUUUCUCAAUGUAGACACUCAUAAAAACCAUGAAUGCUGAAGUCCAUUCAUUUAUGGACAAAUAAACACUCGACGAUCUUUUUUCAAUGCAAAUUUCCCCCUUUUUAAUUUCAAAUCGCCCUCGUCCACCUCUUCCAUUGCUUUUCGCGUUCUCAAAAGAGAAUGAAGCUCAAUAAACUUUCCCUCCCAAAUUUUGUUUCUUAAUUUUAAAAGACACGUGUU
rnacentral:lncRNA from 1 species